AGUUCGUAGCGGGGCUGGCGCACCACGGUCAGCUGGGGCCUGACCAGCGUCGUCCAGUCCUGGUCGUCGAAGCCGAUCACGGACAG
rnacentral:tRNA from 1 species